GGGGGAGUAGUAUAGUGGUAGUACAGGGGUCUCCAAAACCUCUAGCCUGGGUUCGAUUCCUAGCUCCCCUGCCA
rnacentral:tRNA from 1 species